AUCCACACCAGGCAGAGGACAAACUCCACUCCUGGCCUUCCUGCCCAGCUAGAUUUAAGGAUUGUAACCAGGACAGUGAGUCCCUUCUGGGAAAGGGGCCUCGUGGAGGUUAUGAAAUCCAGCAGGUCAUGGAAGGAGAAACGAUUGACAAUCCAGACGGGAUGGAGGCAGGAGUUGGCUCAGUAACCCCAUCUUUCCUAUCCACCAGCACUCCCCUGCGCUUCCCAAGUGAUUUAAUUAUCCAUUCUUUAACUGCAACUCGGUUAGCCCUGAAAUUUGGGUGAAGAGAAAUCAGACACAGGCAUCAGCACUCCUGGUUUGGGGGACUUAGGAUUCAGACUGGGACCUAUGCCAUUGGUUUCCCUGGUUCUCAGGCCUCUGGGCUUCAUUGGACUGGAACUAUACUACCAGUUUUCCUGGGUCUUCAGCUUGCAGAUGGCAGAUUGUGGAACUUCUCAGUCUUCAUAAUUGUGUGAGCCAAUCCCCCAUAAUAAAUCUCUUUCUCUAUAUCUA
rnacentral:lncRNA from 1 species